GACGAACGCUGGCGGCGUGCUUAACACAUGCAAGUCGAACGGAAAGGCCCUGCUUUUGUGGGGUGCUCGAGUGGCGAACGGGUGAGUAACACGUGAGUAACCUGCCCUUGACUUUGGGAUAACUUCAGGAAACUGGGGCUAAUACCGGAUAGGAGCUCCUGCUGCAUGGUGGGGGUUGGAAAGUUUCGGCGGUAGGGGAUGGACUCGCGGCUUAUCAGCUUGUUGGUGGGGUAGUGGCUUACCAAGGCUUUGACGGGUAGCCGGCCUGAGAGGGUGACCGGCCACAUUGGGACUGAGAUACGGCACAGACUCCUACGGGAGGCAGCAGUGGGGAAUAUUGCACAAUGGGCGGAAGCCUGAUGCAGCAACGCCGCGUGCGGGAUGACGGCCUGCGGGUUGUAAACCGCUUUCGCCUGUGACGAAGCGUGAGUGACGGCAAUGGGUAAAGAAGCACCGGCUAACUACGUG
rnacentral:rRNA from 1 species